GCAGUCGACGGUAACAGGAAGCAGCUUGCUGUUUCGCUGACGAGUGGCGGACGGGUGAGUAAUGUCUGGGAAACUGCCUGAUGGAGGGGGAUAACUACUGGAAACGGUAGCUAAUACCGCAUAACGUCGCAAGACCAAAGAGGGGGACCUUCGGGCCUCUUGCCAUCGGAUGUGCCCAGAUGGGAUUAGCUAGUAGGUGGGGUAACGGCUCACCUAGGCGGCGAUCCCUAGCUGGUCUGAGAGGAUGACCAGCCACACUGGAACUGAGACACGGUCCAGACUCCUACGGGAGGCAGCAGUGGGGAAUAUUGCACAAUGGGCGCAAGCCUGAUGCAGCCAUGCCGCGUGUAUGAAGAAGGCCUUCGGGUUGUAAAGACNUUUUCAGCGGGGAGGAAGGGAGUAAAGUUAAUACCUUUGCUCAUUGACGUUACCCGCAGAAGAAGCACCGGCUAACUCCGUGCCAGCAGCCGCGGUAAUACGGAGGGUGCAAGCGUUAAUCGGAAUUACUGGGCGUAAAGCGCACGCAGGCGGUUUGUUAAGUCAGAUGUGAAAUCCCCGGGCUCAACCUGGGAACUGCAUCUGAUACUGGCAAGCUUGAGUCUCGUAGAGGGGGGUAGAAUUCCAGGUGUAGCGGUGAAAUGCGUAGAGAUCUGGAGGAAUACCGGUGGCGAAGGCGGCCCCCUGGACAGAUACUGACACUC
rnacentral:rRNA from 1 species